GGGCGAGGGGGCUUCCGCCCCUGCCUCCCCGCCCCCUAUAAAAUUCCAUGCGCCCCUUUGUUCUGCCGCCAUCUUGUCCACGCGGGCACCGGCAACGGAUGCUGCUCUCCACUGCAGCCACCACGCAGCAAUAAAAGUUCUCCAGCCAACCGCAGGGCAGGGUGUGCCUUCCUUCGCCUCUUUACCUCCUCCCAGUGUCAGUUACACAACGUGGCAGCCCACGCGGAGGCUCAGCGCUAGAGCCUCCAAACCAGCGGCAGCCCCAGACUCCCGUGUGAUACGCUGAGCCUAGCCGGGCUCCCUGAGCCACUCGGGACUGGGAAAAAAGAAUGCAAUGCCACACUUAAUAAUGGACUGAGGUUCAAUGUGGUUUUAAAGUGCUGAGAGUGCACAAGAGGCUGGAAGGCAAUACUGCUGACUCCAAGUGACCCAAGAGAUAUUCCUGACCAAAUGGUGUCAUGCUGGUAUCAUGUAUAUAAAGCUGAAGGGAAGAGGGAGAAA